CGCAGUCACCGGAAGCGGCCGGGGCCGCCCUGAAGCCAGGCGUGGUCCCUGUAGCUGCUGUGUGCGCAGUUUGUGCGGGCAGGGGGAGCGGGUCCGCUCGCUCGCUGGCUGCCGCAGCCCCAGCUCCAGCUCCGGCACACUUUCGUCCUUGCCCUCAGUUUCUGUGAUGGUGCUUGCCUUGAAGGAAGGUGAAAAAGAAAUGAAGAGCCUGUGUACUUGAAGAUACGUAAAUACCAAGAGUCUCCAUUUAAAAUGGUGUGAAAGAAAGAAGGAAAGAGAUAAAGGAAGAACAGAGGAAACGUGAAGUUUCUUUUUGUAUCUCAAAUUGGUAAUGGGUAUUAAAGAGUUUUUGAAAUAUGG